rnacentral:lncRNA from 1 species
CGGCUUCCGGGUAGUGGCAGGUGAGGCCGCGUGGGGCCAGCGGCGGCUCCUUGCUGGUCUGUGGCUCUGGGCCCAAGACCCGAGCCUCCUACAGGGGCGGCCCCCUGCCUGAGGCGCGGGUGGGUUCCGACCUCCGAGAGCCGGUGUGGAAGCACUGAGGGGCCCCUACUUUUGCCCCCGAAGUCAGCGGGGCAACAGCCGCUCCCUUGCAGGAGCCGGGCCGUGGGCUGAGGGCCCCGGUGGGUGAGAUCGGUGACCCCCGAAAACUCCGACCAAAGAGCUGCAGCAAGAAAGGAGUUGGUUCCCACAAACCGCCCAGAGUCAAGUGAGAUGUUUCUAAGGCCCUCGUUUUCUCUGUGCAUGGGAACUAAAAUCAGUCUGAUGGCAGCUGCACAAGAUGGGAAGGAGUAAUCCUUGAAAUUAGACCAAGGAAGCACGUGAAGUGUGUUUGCUCUCAGCCACCAGCCUCAGAAGAGCUCAAGUCCAGGUAGGGUACAUUUUACCUGAGAUCUACUCUGGGGUGUCUUCCCUUGGUCACAGCCUGCUCCCAGGCACUCCUGGUGAGUUGGGUCUCUUUCCUACAUGUUGUGUAGCAUUAUUGUCCCAUAUUCACAGUGAGCUGUCCGAUUCCCAGGAGCAGAAGCCUGUUUCUGAAGCAUCCAAUCAGUCUAGAAAUAAUAGUCUAGUUAUCUGAUUUUUCACAGCUCUUUGCCUUUUCCUUGCACUGAGGAGUUAGGUAGCUAACUUUAUUCACAUCAAACAGCUAUGGAAGUUAAAGUUAUCUCAGAUUCGGAGCUAUAGACAUUACUUAAGAAGCGCUGUGGUUCUUUAAGUAUAUUCACGUCAUAAGCACUCAGCAAACCAGGUUAUUCAAGAAUCCUCUUAUCUCAGAAAGCUGAUUACAUUAUAUAAAUUAUCAAGGCAUUUAUUUCAAAGAUACUGAGAAAAAUCAGAGCAUUCUUGUCAGGUGUCUGUGGCACUUUGGCACUUGACCCCAACAUUCUUAAACAUCCUCUCAUCAAGAGCAAGAGUGCCCCACACGCUUCUCUGAACCAGGAUGAGCCAGUGACUGCUUUGACCAAUUAAGUAUGAUAGAAAGGUUGCUAUGUGACUUUUCAGGCUGGAUCUGAAAAAGCCAUGCCAGUUUUGCUUUCUUUUCUUUGGAUACUUGCUCUGAGAGAAGUCUGCUGCCACAUAGAGUGUAUCUCCCCUAAGAAAGUCAUGCUGGAAAGGCCUUCUGGUCACAGCCCUGCUCAGCUUCCAGCAACAGCCAGCAUCCACUGCCAGCCAUGUGGACAGGCCAUCUUGGGUGUCCCCAGAUGUGUUGACGACUCAGCUCAGUGGAGCCUUCAGAUUGUUGCAGUCUCCACCAACAUCUGACUGCAACCUCUUGAGAAAUGCCUUGUGACAGCAAAGCAGCCAAGCCCUUCCGUAACUCAUAACCCACAAAAUCAUUUAAAAAGAUCGUUUUUAACAAAUUGGUUUUCGGUUCAUACCACUAAAGUUUUAGGGCAAUUUGUUUUACAGUGCCAUUGGGAAAGAAGUUUCUCCCCUUUGACACACCUCCUCACCAUUCCAGCUGCUCACUUUCACUUCUGAGUGUUUGUGCUGUAGUUGCUUCAGUCCAUAUCUUCUUGGGUUUAUCUUUUCAUACUUUACACAUAUACACACACAGCCACAUAGGCACAGCCACCCACAUAGAAAAUUGAUCACUUGGCUCAGUUCUACUCCCCAGAUGACUUCAUUCAGACCUCAUUUUUCAGCUG